rnacentral:rRNA from 1 species
UUUGAAAUCUGGCCCCCAGGGUCCGAGUUGUAAUUUGCAGAGGAUGCUUUGGGCGAGGUGCCUUCCGAGUUCCCUGGAACGGGACGCCACAGAGGGUGAGAGCCCCGUCUGGUCGGACGCCGAGCCUGUGUAAAGCUCCUUCGACGAGUCGAGUAGUUUGGGAAUGCUGCUCAAAAUGGGAGGUAUAUGUCUUCUAAAGCUAAAUAUUGGCCAGAGACCGAUAGCGCACAAGUAGAGUGAUCGAAAGAUGAAAAGCACUUUGAAAAGAGGGUUAAAGAGUACGUGAAAUUGUUGAAAGGGAAGCGCCCAUGACCAGACUUGGGCCCGGUGAAUCACCCAGCGUUCUCGCUGGUGCACUUUGCCGGGCACAGGCCAGCAUCGGUUUGGCGCGGGGGACAAAGGCUUCGGGAACGUGGCUCCCUCGGGAGUGUUAUAGCCCGCUGCGCAAUACCCUGCGCCGGACUGAGGUACGCGCAUCGCAAGGAUGCUGGCGUAAUGGUCAUCAGCGACCCGUCUUGAAACACGGACCAAGGAGUCGUCUUCGUAUGCGAGUGUUCGGGUGUCAAACCCCUACGCGGAAUGAAAGUGAACGCAGGUGAGAGCUUCGGCGCAUCAUCGACCGAUCCUGAUGUUCUCGGAUGGAUUUGAGUAGGAGCAUACGGGGCCGGACCCGAAAGAAGGUGAACUAUGCCUGUAUAGGGUGAAGCCAGAGGAAACUCUGGUGGAGGCUCGCAGCGGUUCUGACGUGCGAAUCGAUCGUCAAAUAUGGGCAUGGGGGCGAAAGACUAAUCGAACCUUCUAGUAGCUGGUUUC